CAGGAUGCGCAUACAGUGCCGGGCACCACCCAGUGCAUUGCACCGCACCAGGAUGUAUGCGCUGUGCCAGGCACCACCGGGUGCAUUGCACCGCGCUGGGAUGCAGCCGCCGCGCCGGGAUGCAGGCACAGCGCCGGGCUCUGCCGGGGCACUGCACCGCGCCGGGACACGCACACAGCACCGGGCACUGCCAGGCGCGUUGCACUGCACAGGGCCGCAGGCACGGCGCCGGGCGCAGCCGGGUGCGUUCACCGUGCGGAGCAGGGCGUGCACGGCGCACGCGGUGCAGUUCGGUGGCCUGGGCCGGGCGCCGCAGCGGGUGCCCCCUGCCCGUCCCCGCCGGGCUCCCRUGGCCUAUUGCUCCUGCCAGAUGUUGCAGCUGCGGCUGCUGCUGCAGAGCCGCGGGGUUCCCGUCCCGGCACCGCGUCCCGCCGUGGGGGUCGGCCCCAGUGGGUCCCCUCCGUGCCCGCGGUGGGGGGUGGGCGGCGGGGGCUGGCUCGUGCGCCCUUCCCCCAGCCCCGCGCUAAUCGCCCUAAUUGGCACCUCGGCUAAAGCGCUUAGGCCCUCGCCUCACCUCCCUGACCCAGAUAGCAGCCGGGCCGGGGGAGGGGGCGCCCGGACGCCUGGGACCCCCGGAGCCCAGCUGGCCGGGGCGCCCCGGGGCUGCGCUGUGCCGUGCCGGGCGCGGGGUGCACCGCCGGCCCAGCCCCGGACUUUGCCCCCGGGUUGUUUUCCAGCUCCUGCAACUGCCCGACUCAGCAGAAAGCGCGCCGGGGUGCGGGGCCGGGCGGUGGGCGCGGGGCGCCCAGCAUCACCCUGCGCGGCAGCGGCGGCGGCUCGGGGAGAGCCGUGGGGGGCUGAGACCCGAUGGGACUCAUUGCACGUGGCCCCUUCUGCUGCCUGCAGGCAGCGGGAGACGGUGCCGGUGGCACGGGGCCCGUGGGGUGCCGAGGAGGAGGAGGAGGAGGAGAUCUGCCUCGCCGCGUCCGUCCGCCGCACGCCCCGAGCCAGCGGGAUUCCUCGAGCGCUGCGGCCCGCCCGCCGCUGCCGCCCUUCCCCGCGGCCGCCCCGGGGAGCGCG
rnacentral:lncRNA from 1 species